GACGUAGGGCGCGAGCGUUGUCCGGAUUUAUUGGGCGUAAAGAGCUCGUAGGCGGCUUGUCGCGUCGACUGUGAAAACCCGCGGCUCAACUGCGGGCCUGCAGCCGAUACGGGCAGGCGUAGAGUUCGGUAGGGGAGACUGGAAUUCCUGGUGUAGCGGUGAAAUGCGCAGAUAUCAGGAGGAACACCCGGUGGCGAAGGCGGGUCUCUGGGGCCGA
rnacentral:rRNA from 1 species